GUGAACGCACCACUGGUGUUCGGGUUGUCAUGCCAAUGGCAUUGCCCGGUAGCUAAGUGCGGAAAAGAUAAGCGCUGAAAGCAUCUAAGCGCGAAACUUGCCUCAAGAUGAGUCUUCCCUGGGCCUUUAAGGCCCCUGAAGGAACGUUUAAGACUAAGACGUUGAUAGGCUGGGUGUGUAAGUGCAGCGAUGCAUUGAGCUAACCAGUACUAAUGAUCCGUGAGGCUUAACCUUACAACACCGAAGGUGUUU
rnacentral:rRNA from 1 species